GGGUCGUAAACUUCUUUUAUAUAAGAAUAAAGUGCAGUAUGUAUACUGUUUUGUAUGUAUUAUAUGAAUAAGGAUCGGCUAACUCCGUGCCAGCAGCCGCGGUAAUACGGAGGAUCCGAGCGUUAUCCGGAUUUAUUGGGUUUAAAGGGAACGUAGGUGGACUGGUAAGUCAGUUGUGAAAGUUUGCGGCUCAACCGUAAAAUUGCAGUUGAUACUGUCAGUCUUGAGUACAGUAGAGGUGGGCGGAAUUCGUGGUGUAGCGGUGAAAUGCUUAGAUAUCACGAAGAACUCCGAUUGCGAAGGCAGCUCACUGGACUGCAACUGACACUGAUGCUCGAAAGUGUGGGUAUCAAACAGGAUUAGAUACCCUGGUAGUCCACACAGUAAACGAUGAAUACUCGCUGUUUGCGAUAUACAGUAAGCGGCCAAGCGAAAGCAUUAAGUAUUCCACCUGGGGAGUA
rnacentral:rRNA from 1 species